rnacentral:rRNA from 1 species
UACGGAGGGUGCAAACGUUGCUCGGAAUCAUUGGGCGUAAAGCGCACGUAGGCGGCCUGAUAAGUCGGGUGUGAAAGCCCUGGGCUCAACCCAGGAAGUGCACUCGAAACUGUCAGGCUUGAAUAUGGAAGAGGGUCGCGGAAUUCCCGGUGUAGAGGUGAAAUUCGUAGAUAUCGGGAGGAACACCAGUGGCGAAGGCGGCGACCUGGGCCAAU